GUCGCGUUCGUCCAGUGGUUCAGGACUCCGGGCUUUCAUUCCGGGAACGCGGGUUCGAAUCCCGCACGCGAUACCA
rnacentral:tRNA from 1 species